CCUACGGGGGGCAGCAGUGGGGAAUAUUGCACAAUGGGGGAAACCCUGAUGCAGCGACGCCGCGUGAGUGAAGAAGUAAUUCGUUACGUAAAGCUCUAUUAGUAGGGAAGAAAAUGACGGUACCUGAGUAAGAAGCCCCGGCUAACUACGUGCCAGCAGCCGCGGUAAUACGUAGGGGGCCAGCGUUAUCCGGAUUUACUGGGUGUAAAGGGAGCGUAGACGGGGUGCCAAGUCUGGAGUGAAAUGCUGAAGCUUAACUGCGGAACUGCUUUGGAAACUGGCAGACUAGAGUGCGGGAGGGGUAGGCGGAAUUCCUGGUGUAGCGGUGAAAUGCGUAGAUAUUAGGAGGAACACCGAUUGCGAAGGCGGCUUACUAGACCGUAACUGACGUUGAUGCUCGAAAGCGUGGGGAGCAAACAGGAUUAGAUACCCCUGUAGUC
rnacentral:rRNA from 1 species